CGGAUUGCCUUAAGUUUGAUAUGGCUCAGGACGAACGCUGGCGGCGUGCUUAACACAUGCAAGUCACGGGGGCCCGCAAGGGCAACCGGCGAACGGGUGCGUAACACGUGAGCAACCUACCGAUUUGUGGGGGAUAGCCGCCCUAACGGGCGGGUAAUACCGCAUACGCUUUCCGGGAGACCUCUCCUGGUCUGGAAACCUCCGGGGCAAAUCGAGGGGCUCGCGGCCUAUCAGCUAGUUGGUGCGGUCACGGCGCACCAAGGCGACGACGGGUAGCUGGUCUGAGAGGAUGGCCAGCCACAUUGGGACUGAGAAACGGCCCAGACUCCUACGGGAGGCAGCAGUGGGGAAUCUUGCGCAAUGGGCGAAAGCCUGACGCAGCGACGCCGCGUGGGGGAUGAAGGGUUUCGGCUCGUAAACCCCUGUUGCCCGGGACGAACUUCCUCUUUCGAGAGGAUUGACGGUACCGGGUGAGGAAGCACCGGCUAACUCUGUGCCAGCAGCCGCGGUAAUACAGAGGGUGCGAGCGUUGUCCGGAAUCACUGGGCGUAAAGGGCGCGUAGGUGGCGACCCAAGUCAAUGGUGAAAGCUCGAUGCUCAACAUCGAGUCGGCCACUGAUACUGGGUUGCUUGAGCACUGUAGAGGCUAAUGGAAUUCCGGGUGUAGCGGUGGAAUGCGUAGAGAUCCGGAAGAACACCGGUGGCGAAGGCGGUUAGCUGGGCAGUUGCUGACACUGANGCGCGACAGCGUGGGGNAGCAACAGGAUUAGAUACCC
rnacentral:rRNA from 1 species